CUUAAGAUCAGAGGUUAAACUCCGUUUAUCAACCUAAAGCCUCCAGCUGUUCUCCAAUUUAGAAAGGGGUGUUUGUACGAGAGGGCAAGGUUUGAAGUUAUUGUUGGGUUGUUUUAGGCAAGCUUUCACCUUGAUUCUGGUGCAACAUAAGGUUAAGGUGUUUGAGCCCUGAAGCCACAGUUUUCAAUGAGAGCAAGGGCUGCACUGCCUCCACUGAGUGGGGUCUGAUGUGGACUCUUCUGUCUUGGUGCCAGUCCCUGUGCUCCUGAGAGCUUCUUCUGCAAUGUGCUGUAACUGCACCUUCUGCCUGUCCACCUCCUGGGACUGGAGGGAGAAGCAGAUGUGUCUUGGCUAGAGAAGGCUUCUGGACAUAGGGACACUUUGGGCAGAAGCACCCAGGGAGCACAGAAAGAAGGCAGUGAAUUUUCUGAGACCCGAUACUGAGACACGGAAAGCUGUCUCUCCCGUUUCCCUCAUCUACGCAAGCUGUGACUUAAAGAGCAGAAAAAGCAGUGAGCCUGGUGGAGUAAAACGUCACUUCAGUAACUUGCAGGAGUAAACUCACUGAAGGUUGUGACCCUGUGAUGGUGAGAAUUGUGGGAGCACACAGGCCCACAGGGAUGAGCUGCCUCCGUCUAGUACUGGAGCACUUGGGAUCAAAGCUUCCCUUACACAGCCUGAUGCCUGAGCCUGUUCAACAAAGCGUGAGGAUGGUUUCUGGCUCAUCUGUUCAUUCAAGCUUUUAAUUAGUUACCAGCUAUCCUCAUGGUGAGGAGUUGACGCCUGAUGUUAUUGAGGUACUUAUUCAAGCGUUCAUGUUUAUGCAAACGCAUUCUUUUUAUAUCGGAUUUUGGGCAAUCAUAAUCCGUGGUAAGGAAUUAAACGACAUGUAAAGAAGAAAUGUGACCCGUUGAUCAAAGAUGCGCUGGCCCACUAGUGAACAGUCUAUCCGGGAUGUGAAAUGGCUGGUCCCCAGAGACGCCCAUUCAAAAAAGAACUGAUGCUUGCAUUUUCUAUAUGCAGAAUCCCAAGCAGUUAUACAACGCGCACGCAUGACUUGAGCUGCAAACACACAUUGCUGCAGUCCUUACACUGGUCCUAUUUUUGAGCUAGUGUAAAACCUGUCCUGGAUGCGUAUGCGCACUGCUUGACUACUUGCAAAGAACUGGGCUGUUAGCCCAUAGACAGAGGAGGGUAUGUCACACUACACAGAAAAAGAGGUCCUUAGCAAAACCACAGGACACAGAAGCACUCAGCAGCUCUUACCUGCUCCCCACUGCAGUGAUUCUGCAGUUGCCAUUGCUGCACAUUCAUAAAAGAGGACAGAGCAUGACCAAAUAAACAAACUCAAACCAGACUCUAAGAUGUAAUCAAAGAAUGUAUUUUAACUGGAGAGUUCAGACAAAGAUAAGGGGCAUGUAAGACGAUCUAUUUUUCCCUUUAAACUUGUCACAUGCAAGAGAGCAGAUCUUCCUAUAAUGUAAAUCAGCAUAGCUACACAGUCUGGAGGGAACAAUUGUAAUUUAUCCUGCCUGAAGGCCUGCACAGAAGGUGCUUGAAGUUUCUCGCAAUUCAUUGGAGACUUGUGACAUUGAGAGCAGGCAUUUGAGCUCCACUGUCUUCUGGAGCGAUUUGCAGUGUAGGCAACUUAUAAUUACAAACACUUGAUAAAUCUUCUUCAGAGAAACUGGGGAGUUUGGUAGGAUGCUUGAGUCAGUCGUGACCGAUUUUACUUCCUGUAAGAAAGCUGUGCUUCUGCAAUUUUGAUCUCAGCACAAAAGCAUCGCUCAGCAAUACUGUGGAAGAGGUUCUGAGGGUUCAGCCAAGCUUCAAAAUAUUUCAAGGAUCUUCUUUGUCUUGUGGAGAUCAGUGGGUUCCUUUCCUGCCAAGCUGAAAAGCCUGGGGGAAACAAAAGGAACCUGUUUCAAGCCAUUUUUGUGAGAACAAUACCUCUCCCCAACACCUUAUGCAGCUGGUAAAUACCAUUCCUUUGUCAGGUACCUAAUCUUUUUUAGCAAUGUUCUACCACCUACACCUGACCACCAACUUUCCACUCUGUUUGCCUUGGCUGACAUUUAUAUAACAAAGAGCUGCUAACUGUUCUUUUAUCUGCACAAGAAAGUCGAGCACAGGAGGAGACAAAUAUGAUGGGCACCAUACGGCAGCACAGAGCUUCACUGCUCCCUGUAUAUCCAGACUCUCUAAUGGUUAUAUUGAGCCAUUGCUCAGAAAAAAAAAUGCUGCUGGUUGCCUGGAAUGAUUUAACUCUCAUGUUCCUGGUUAAAAAAAAAUAAUAAUAAAAAAAAUGCUGUUAUA